CGACCGGCGCACGGGUGCGUAACGCGUAUGCAACCUACCUUUAACAGGGGGAUAACACUGAGAAAUUGGUACUAAUACCCCAUAAUAUCAUAGAAGGCAUCUUUUAUGGUUGAAAAUUCCGAUGGUUAGAGAUGGGCAUGCGUUGUAUUAGCUAGUUGGUGGGGUAACGGCUCACCAAGGCGACGAUACAUAGGGGAACUGAGAGGUUAACCCCCACACUGGUACUGAGACACGGACCAG
rnacentral:rRNA from 1 species